UACAGAGGUCCCAAGCGUUGUUCGGAUUCAUUGGGCGUAAAGGGUGCGUAGGCGGCCUUCUAAGUCGAACGUGAAAUCCCCGGGCUCAACCCGGGAACUGCGUCCGAUACUGGAUGGCUAGAGUUUGGGAGAGGGAUGCGGAAUUCCAGGUGUAGCGGUGAAAUGCGUAGAUAUCUGGAGGAACACCGGUGGCGAAGGCGGCAUCCUGGACCAACACUGGACGCUGAGGAGCGAAAGCCAGGGGAGCAAACGGG
rnacentral:rRNA from 1 species